UCUGUUCUCUUCCGCCUAAUGAGAGCAAACAUUUUCCGUACCAACUCUCGCACUGGGAGAAGGCAAAGAGACUGUGCACUCAAGCAAGACUUUCCAAGCCAGUAAAUGAUUGUUAAUGGGGACAGCUUUUGACAGGCAAAGGACGCGGUUUCACUUCCGGGGAAUCGCCCUCGCUGAUUGGCCAAGAUGGCGACCCGACCGCGACGCGUCGUAGCUGAGUGGGCGGGGCCAUGGGAGCGUGACGUCACCUUGAAAGCUAUGACGAUGAGUCUGCAGCACGUGUGGGAGAUAGAGGCUCAGGGCAGAACACAACAGCCGGAACAUGAGCCAUGAUCACCAAAACAAUGAUUCUGCUGAGGCUGCUUGGGACCGUGUAUGCUUUAUUGAGGAAAACGUAGCCCUCGAUAUCCUUACACAGAGCACAACUGCUCCUUACAGGUUUCCCGGAUCGACUCUGCUCCAGGAAGGAAAUAACGUUGUGGCACCCAAUUCCCAAAACUCUUCCCACCCACUUUCCUCACCUUAAUGUUAUUUUCCACAUAGUUGAGUAAAACUAAAGACAUUUAAGCUUAUGUAAUGCAGUAUUUCAAUUUCAUUAAUGUCACCUAUUUUACAAAAUUAAUUAAAAUUAAUAGAGUUUAAGAGAGUAACACCUCUGAGAAUUAGGUAACAAGUGUGGUUGUUUCUACUGACACAGUGCUGGCUAUAGAAGUGUCUACAUCUUCUUGGGAUGAGAACACUUAUUGUUUUAAAUAUUUUAGAAAUUUUCCCAAAUUGGUGAAAUUCUUUCUGAAGCUUUGGUUAUUUUCUGUCUUUUUAAUGAGAAAAGUGUUUUCCCACAAUGUUUGGGGAAGGGAGGAAUAAACUACAGGAGACUAUGUCUUUAAAAGAUACAAGCAGAGAGAGAUGAGACAGAAAAAGAUCAUAAAUGCUCCCUAAUUCUUCUUUGCAAGUGGUGUUACCACUACACUUCUCUUUUCAACAUUGGGCAAGGAAACAAAUAAAUGUCAACCUCCCUCAGUCCCCCAGUGAUUCCAAGGCUUUGACUUAGAAAGAAGGAAUCUUCUAACUACUCUGGCACAGCAAUGACUUUGAGUGCUCAAGGCUUGGAGGUGGCAGGACUGGGGGGAGAAAGAUGCAAAAGAUAUUUUUGCUGUCCCUUCUCCUCAGUAAACAGCUAUGUGCCUCACUGGAAAUAAACAGAAUUUUCUUUCUUGCCAAACAAAUGAACAAAAUUAAGCCCCUGCCCUUCACUUCAGCAAACAAGAGCAAAUAACCUCAAGAUGUAAAGUGUCAUCUUUGUUCACAUGACAUCCUCCUUUUGGAACAGCAGCCCUCUAAAAGGAGAGCACAAGCAUACCUUGAGUCAACCUCCAGGAGAGCAAGGCACUCGGACAGAAAAGUGGGAGUAAAAAUCCUUGAGCCAAAUGUAUACCAGAGAACAAUGGGCCAGUUCACAAAGUUGUUUUUAAAAUUAAGAGGUGGCUUGUAUUUGCAUGUAAAGUAUUUGUUAGCAGUGUAUCUUUCACAGAAGAGACAGAACACAGGGCUAAUACCCUGAAAGAUUCCCAAUGGAAAAAUAUUUUGAGGUUUCCAGUCCUUGGAGCCUUUACUGUUUUUUUCUUUCCCAUACAUUUCACAUUUGCUGAAGUUUGCUUAAAAUACAAAGAAGAAAAAAAAUGCAACAGAGAAUUAUUUUGUCCUCAUUACCUUAUAGCAGUUUGUGCUCGGAAUCUCUUACCUUUAAUGGCCUGAUAUUUUCCCCCAACAUAAAUUAAGCACAGGGAUAGCUCAGCAAACUGUGCCUGCAGAUUUCCAAAGGAAGGUAAGUAACCUUCCAGCACAUGUCACUCCACACAGAGAACAAGGAGGGGAAAAUAACCCAGAAACUCCAAAGAAACACCCAACAUGCCUUGCCUUGUUCUUCCAUUAAAUGGAAUAUGUAAGAGAUGGAAAACAAUUGUUUCCCUCAACUUAGACACAACUGCUGGUUGCAUCUCUUGAGAGCACCCCCAGGAACUGCAGGCUGCUCUCCUAAAGCUUGCGCAUCUUAAUUUUCUUGUUCCCUCCCUCUACAUGCAGCCAGAAGCUCUCCUUUUUCAGUUUGCAACCGCAGCUGCCCUCCAGCCCCCUGGCUCUGACUGCACCUCCCUGUUGCUUCAUACCCACCUGCCCCUGGCCAGCAUUUCCGUGCCUGGCCCUCCUGGCACGUCCUGUCCUGCUCCUCAAGGUCAGUGGGGUGCUCCUGCUCCACCUGCGAGGGAAGCACCUGGCUGUGCUGCUCCUCCUCCCAGCAGGUCACUUCUCAUUUGGGAAGGAAUCGAGCCCCGUGCUGAAAACAGACCUUCCCUCUCCUCCUGUCAAACAGCAGAGCUCCUGGAUGGCACUGAUUAAUUUCUCAGUUAAAGACCUAAGAAUUUCACACUUGCAGAGCAGAGCUCAGUCCAGGCAGAGCUGCUCUGCUCUUCUAAAGAAGGAGAAUAAAAAUGCACUGUUUUAGCAACCAGCUAGGUCAGACUUCUUGGAAAUCCAGUGUGUUUAUAUUUAAGUUUUGUUUCCAUUAUGGAGCUUUUAGAAUAACAGAUAAUGAACUAUCUACCUUCCUGUAGUAUGGAAAGGAAUGAGUCCCAGCUGCAUAACUGCUCUCAAACUCUUGUUGCAUACAGCAUUUCUUUUUGCAGCAGCCUGGUUACAGCUAUAGGUCUGUGACCUGAUUCUCAUUUCUUUUUCUAAGAGCAUUAAACCUUCCUAGAGCCUGAAAGGCUUUUAGGUAAUCAGCAGCCAACUGUACAAAUGUAGAGUUAAACUUUCUCAGGGUUAACACAGCACCUUAAUAAAUGAGUCAGUUCUUAAACUCAGUUCCAGCACCCACUGAUGAACUCCUGACAGCAAAGGGAAGACUGCUGAGAAAUGCUAAUGGUAAAAACAAUGAAAUGGAGCAUUAAAAGGAAAAAGUAAGUUGCCUUUUUUAGCAGUUUCAGUUCAAGGUGAUACAGGAACACAUAGCAGGAAAGGUCAUUAAAUGAAAAUGGUGAAGCCAUUUUGCAGGUUUACCUCUUUUCUAGGGCAUUUUACCAGAUGAUCAUAACAUGAGACAGUGACAAAUGCAUUCCAGCUGACAUAAGAUAUGUGGGUCAUGCUGACUUUGCAACAUUAUAAACCACUAUUGGGGAUAACACAGCUUCUCUGUGAGGUAAUUUACCUUCUUUGGAUGAAAAGAUAAAUGUGAAUUAACAGGGAAGAGACUGAAACAUCUGAGCUGUGUUAUUGAUCUACUAAGGACCUAGAUAAGUCACAGAGAAACUAAUGCUUGCUUUGCUUGAGAUUAGUGAUGGAUGGGACAGCAGAUUUAGGAGCUAAGGGGCUAUCACUGUCAACAAAGCCUUAGUACUAAUUUUUUUUUUUUAAUUAUCCUGGAGUAGUAGGGAAAAUAUGCCCCAUAGCAGCAGUAGGCAGAAGCAAUCUUUUACUCAUGACAUUGUGGACUCUAAACUAAAAUAUUACAAGGAACAAAAAUACUCAGUGCUUCAAAUGUAUUCAACUGUUCUCAUCUGUUUCUGAUGAGACAAAUGUGGGUUUAAUAAAUAUUUAGUUGUAGGACUCCAUUUUCUGAGGGGAAGCAUAUAAGUACUUUCUGCUGAGAAU